UACGAAGGGGGCUAGCGUUGUUCGGAUUUACUGGGCGUAAAGGGCGCGUAGGCGGACUGAUAAGUCAGGGGUGAAAUCCCAAGGCUCAACCUUGGAACUGCCUUUGAUACUGUUAGUCUUGAGUUCGAGAGAGGUAAGUGGAACUGCGAGUGUAGAGGUGAAAUUCGUAGAUAUUCGCAAGAACACCAGUGGCGAAGGCGGCUUACUGGCUCGAAACUGACGCUGAGGCGCGAAAGCGUGGGGAGCAAAC
rnacentral:rRNA from 1 species